rnacentral:rRNA from 1 species
GAGUGAACGCUGGCGGUAGGCCUAACACAUGCAAGUCGAACGGCAGCCCAGUAAGAGCUUGCUCUUACGGGUGGCGAGUGGCGGACGGGUGAGGAAUACAUCGGAAUCUACUUUUUCGUGGGGGAUAACGUAGGGAAACUUACGCUAAUACCGCAUACGACCUACGGGUGAAAGCAGGGGAUCUUCGGACCUUGCGCGAUUGAAUGAGCCGAUGUCGGAUUAGCUAGUUGGCGGGGUAAAGGCCCACCAAGGCGACGAACCGUAGCUGGUCUGAGAGGAUGAUCAGCCACACUGGAACUGAGACACGGUCCAGACUCCUACGGGAGGCAGCAGUGGGGAAUAUUGGACAAUGGGCGCAAGCCUGAUCCAGCCAUACCGCGUGGGUGAAGAAGGCCUUCGGGUUGUAAAGCCCUUUUGUUGGGAAAGAAAAGCAGCAGGUUAAUACCCCGCUGUUCUGACGGUACCCAAAGAAUAAGCACCGGCUAACUUCGUG